rnacentral:rRNA from 1 species
GAGUUUGAUCAUGGCUCAGAGCGAACGCUAGCGGCAGGCUUAACACAUGCAAGUCGAGCGCCCUUCGGGGAGCGGCGGACGGGUGAGUAACACGUAGGUAACGUACCUUCUGGAGGGGGAUAACCUCGGGAAACUGAGGCUAAUACCGCAUAUGCCCACUGGGUAAAAGCGUUAGCGCCAGAAGACCGGCCUGCGGCCCAUUAUUUAAUCCUAGUUGGUGAGGUAACGGCUCACCAAGGGUACGAUGGGUAGCUGAUCUGAGAGGAUGAUCAGCCACACUGGGACUGAGACACGGCCCAGACUCCUACGGGAGGCAGCAGUGGGGAAUAUUGGACAAUGGGCGAAAGCCUGAUCCAGCCAUGCCGCGUGUGUGAUGAAGGCCUUCGGGUUGUAAAGCACUGUCGGGGGGGAAGAAGAUCUGACGGUACCCCCCAAGAAAGCACCGGCUAACUCCGUGCCAGCAGCCGCGGUAAUACGGAGGGUGCAAGCGUUGCUCGGAAUUACUGGGCGUAAAGCGUACGCAGGCGGCGCAUCAAGUCGGAUGUGAAAGCCCUGGGCUCAACCCAGGAACUGCAUUCGAAACUGGUGCACUUGAGUCCGAGAGAGGGUGGUGGAAUUCCUGGUGUAGAGGUGAAAUUCGUUGAGAUCAGGAGGAACAUCAGCGGCGAAGGCGGCCACCUGGCUCGGUACUGACGCUCAUGUACGAAAGCGUGGGUAGCAAACAGGAUUAGAUACCCUGGUAGUCCACGCCGUAAACGAUGGAUGCUAGUGCCGGAGGAUUCACCCCUUCGGUGCCGAAGUUAACGCAUUAAGCAUCCCGCCUGGGGAGUACGGUCGCAAGAUUAAAACUCAAAGGAAUUGACGGGGGCCCGCACAAGCGGUGGAGUAUGUGGUUUAAUUCGACGCACGCGCAGAACCUUACCCAGGCUUGACAUCCUCGGANCUGAUGNAACAUCGGGGGUGUCCCCUCACGGGGAAGCCGAGUGACAGUGCUGCAUGGCUGUCGUC